GAUGAACGCUGGCGGCGUGCCUAAUACAUGCAAGUCGAGCGAACAGACGAGGAGCUUGCUCCUCUGACGUUAGCGGCGGACGGGUGAGUAACACGUGGAUAACCUACCUAUAAGACUGGGAUAACUUCGGGAAACCGGAGCUAAUACCGGAUAAUAUAUUGAACCGCAUGGUUCAAUAGUGAAAGACGGUUUUGCUGGCACUUAUAGAUGGAUCCGCGCCGCAUUAGCUAGUUGGUAAGGUAACGGCUUACCAAGGCAACGAUGCGUAGCCGACCUGAGGGGGUGAUCGGCCACACUGGAACUGGGACACGGUCCAUGCUCCUACGGGAGGCAGCAGUAGGGAAUCUUCCGCAAUGGGCGAAAGCCUGGCGGAGCAACGCCGCGUGAGUGAUGAAGGUCCUCGGAUCGUAAAACUCUGUUAUUAGGGAAGAACAAAUGUGUAAGUAACUAUGCACGUCUUGACGGUACCUAAUCAGAAAGCCCCGGCUAACUACGUG
rnacentral:rRNA from 1 species